GGGCUCGUCGUUUAGUUUGGUCUAGGAUUUAAGCUUGGGGUGCUUAAGACGGGAGUUCAAAUCUCCCCGAGCCCA
rnacentral:tRNA from 1 species